AAUAAGCAGGGCGGGGGCUUAAACAUGCAAGUCGAAGCGGUAGAAACAGAGACUUGGUCUGCGGAUCUUAGCGGAGCACGUGAGUGUCACGUGUACGUUCUGUGCCUGAUACUGUGAUAUACGUUGGGGACAGCGUAUCUUAUAGGAUAUAAUCUGCAACCGCAUGGUCAGUACCUGUGAAAGAAUUUCGGUCAGGGAUGAGCUCGCGGCCUAUCAGCUUGUUGGUGAGGUAAUGGCUCACCAAGGCGUCGACGGGUAGCCAGCCUGAGAGGGUGACCGGCCACACUGGGACUGAGACACGGCCCAGACUCCUACGGGAGGCAGCAGUGGGGAAUAUUGCACAAUGUGCGCAAGCCUGAUGCAGCAACGCCGCGUGAGGGAUGACGG
rnacentral:rRNA from 1 species